UACAGAGGUCUCAAGCGUUGUUCGGAUUCAUUGGGCGUAAAGGGUGCGUAGGCGGCGCGGUAAGUCGGGUGUGAAAUCUUGGAGCUUAACUCCGAAACUGCAUUCGAUACUGCCGUGCUUGAGGACUGGAGAGGAGACUGGAAUUUACGGUGUAGCGGUGAAAUGCGUAGAUAUCGUAAGGAAGACCGGUGGCGAAGGCGGGUCUCUGGACAGUUCCUGACGCUGGAAGCACGGAAGGCCCAGGGGAGCAAACGGG
rnacentral:rRNA from 1 species